rnacentral:tRNA from 1 species
GUCUCUGUGGUGCAAUCGGUCAAUGCGUUCGGCUGUUAACCAAAAGGUUGGUGGUUCGAGCCCACCCAGGAACG